UACGUAGGGUGCAAGCGUUAUCCGGAAUUAUUGGGCGUAAAGAGCUCGUAGGCGGUUUGUCGCGUCUGCUGUGAAAACUGGAGGCUCAACCUCCAGCCUGCAGUGGGUACGGGCAGACUAGAGUGCGGUAGGGGAGAUUGGAAUUCCUGGUGUAGCGGUGAAAUGCGCAGAUAUCAGGAAGAACACCCGUGGCGAAGGCGGUUCUCUGGGACGGUACUGACGCUGAGACGCGAAAGCGUGGGGGAGCGAACAGG
rnacentral:rRNA from 1 species